AUGCUCUAUUCGACCAGUUGUUUACAUACUUCUACAGCAUGGAGGGACUUGCACAGCACUGCGUCUAGCUCGCUAAAGCCUUUUAACGUACAGUAAGUGACAUAUAAUUACUUUUCAGUGGAUAUAACUAUUUGCUCUAUUCUAUUCGCAACUUAUUUAUACAUAUAUAAUCAUGAAAACUAACAGUUAUUUGCAGUCUGGCGGUAUAUUGCGUACAUGCUUUUGCGUGCGUGCAGAUCAACUGGAAAAAGUCCGCCAGGGUCGCCGCAAAUUUUUUUCCACUAGAGCUAAUGUCGCAUUUCUAUUAACAAAUACUCCACUAAUUGCAGAAGUGAUGGAUUUCUUGCACACGAAUUUCGGGGAUGCUACAAGCAACGGGGGCGCGGGUGGAAAAAGUUGGCCUGAACUUCUCAAAGAUUUUUUCCACCUUGUCAACGAAUGGAAAAUCAUCGCCGUACAACCUUGAAGCCGGACUCGCAUGGCCGGGAAUAAUUCAGUUUCCGGCAAUAAUGAUGCAAUAACGCGAGAGCAUCGUUGAUGGACUUUGCACCAUUAACUGUGAUCUUGCCGUUGCGGUACACUUGGCAGUGCGAUUUCUGCGGACGAAUGGAACGGAGAAGAAGCCCGGAAUAUUUAUGUGGUGCAUAAUGAGAAAGCGGAGCGCGCUCGUAUAAGCUGGGUAAGUCAAUUGCGCAGCCGAGGUCAGCAGUUGCAAUUACGUUAGUUAUCUUCGCCAUUCAGCCAAUUUGCAAACGUCUCCGCUUUCGCAAGCGUUGUUUGUGGUAAUGAAGUAAGCUCCUUAAACUUCGGGCACCCAAUGUCUUCAAGAUUAAACACUUCAGGCAGAUAAUUUUCCAAAAUCUUUAGCUUUUCUAAUCCUUUGGCAAAAAACGUUAGACGCGCAGGUCGUUCACCAAUAAGCUCUAGCAUAUCCUGAAUGGCACUAGCAAUGUCUAAGUAUAAAUAAUCUCCACGAUUAUGCCAGACAAGUCCGUGCGAGUGGCGCGAUUGGCUCCUAAAUUCAACGCGGUAAUGAUUAAAGUGGGAUGGAAUGGUGAAUGUGUAGCACCUGCUAACACUGGUUUGGCAAUCACAAAAUGCCAGCUGUUUUAUAAGCCGUUGGGAGCCAGCGAUAAACCAAUCAAUAUCCAAGACAACCCUCCGCUUUGAAUUCUCCAUUCUGCUGCCGGUACGCUAGCAAUAGCUCCUCCCUUUGGAAAUGGAGUCCUUUAAUAGGUGUCCGCGCACGACAGCUGAUUUGAGAAUCCGAUUGCCCGCUUCAGUUCUUGUUGUGGGGCCAACGACUUCGGGGAAAACCACGUAUGUGUCAAAAUUAAUUAUGGAGCGCGAUAAAUUAUUUGACCAACCAUUUGGACGAAUUAUUUUGGUGUACGGAGAAAUGCAGCCAGCAUACGAAAUGCUUCAGCGAAAAAUCCCUGGGAUUGAACUGACAAAAAAUAUUCAGCAAAUUGUGGAGGAUGAAAAUUAUUUUGAUGGUAAACAAAAUAUUUUGUUGAUACUGGAUGACGUGACAAGCGGUUUGGCGAAGAAUGAGCAUUUAUCUAAACUUUUCACUCAAAAAGUACACCAUGAACGGCUUUGUGUAUUUCUAUUAUUCAAUAACCUAUAUAAACAAGGGUCUGCUAUGCGAGACGUUCAUCUUAAUGCGCAAUAUCUUAUCCUGUUCAAAAAUAAUCGUGAUGUGAACCAAAUCAAGAUUCUCGAAAGGCAGACUGGUUUAAAACAUCUCAGCGGAGCUUACGAGGAAAUCGGUCAGGAACCAUUUCAACCUCUCAUUUUGGAUAUGAAACCGGACACCCCUGCCUAUUUAAGGAUUCGUUCAGCAAUAUUACCGGGAGAGUUGACAAAAAUUUACAUCGAUCCACAAACGACAAACUUGCCUAAGAAUGUGUGAUCAGAUUUUAAAAGACUUUGCUCCGUUUCUCCUUACCCUGCGAUCGCUGAAACCCAAGCAGCGUCGUUUUCUUUUGGAAAAUAUUUCGAAACGACAACUUCGCUGUUUUGAAGAAAUCUGUCUAAAUUUGGUGAAGAAUUCAGUGCCUCUGACCGCCGAACAGCUUAAGGUGUGUCAACGUUGGCGUCGACCAUUAAAGCUGAUUGCCCUCAAAAAAUAUCCUUUACGAAGCAAGAGGGAAAUAUUAUUACAGCGCGGAGGAUUCUUACCUGCGGUUCUACCUGUAUUGGCAGCUGUUUUGGGAACUGCUUUACUAAAAUGAAACCAGAAGUGCAUUAUAUUAUCCCGGUGAGCGAAAUGAAGAAACUUGCCAGCGACACGGCUGGUCGCAUUGCAACGGAUGUUCAAUUACAACAGCAGCCUACUGAAGCUGUAGAUAUUGUGAGACUUGAUGACUUGAUGAAAGAAAUCAUUUCAAGGAAUGCCCUGAGCGAGUGGGAAAAGGCAGAAUUGUUAUCAAGAAAUUUGGCUCGUUUUUUGGCGCUGAAGGAAUCGGCGUUCGGUCCUGACCAAAUGGUUAUUCCACCACCAGCAUCUGUGCCACCGAUUCCAGUACAACUAUUAAAGAAGCCAUGGGUACCACCUAAUAUGCCUGAUCGUAUGUUAGAUGCUUUCCCUCCUAUUCCACCUGCACCGCCGGCGAAACGCAAACGUGCAAAGCGAGAAGUAUUUGAUGAAAAAACUUUACAAGUCGAAGGUCCCAUCGGUUCAAGAACUAAAUCCCAGUUCAACUGGAUGACUGUCAAUAACAAAUGAGUGGUGGAUGUGUUCCCUUCUCUUUGUCUUUGGGAGAAGGUAUGACUUGGAAUUGCACAUCUAGCUGUUGCGAUGGAUCAAGCAGCAGCAACGACGAAGACGAUGGCCAAUCUACUGUUGCGACAAGCGUAUCUGAACCCCCAACACCCGGGCAGCUUUACGGGGAUUCAAAAGUUUCGCAACCACUAUCUACCAGCAACAAGCUACCAACAGACGCGGGAGCAGCUAGAACAUCUGGAUCCAUAUACAGUCCACAAAUCUCGACGAAAAAAGUUCAAAAGAAACCCCGUAGUUGUCUCAAACCUAGCGGAGCAAUAUCAAGCCGAUCUGGCAGACAUGUCAAAAUAUGCGAAACAGAACAAGGGGUACCGUUGGAUACUAUUUGUGAUCGACGUCUUCAGCAAGAAAGUAAGCUGUCAACUACUAAAGAAUAAAAGCGGUACCGAAGUUAAAUUUGGUUUGGAAAAGGUCUUUGCAGAACUUGGCGUACCUAUUAAAUUGCAAACCGACAAAGGUCUUGAAUUUUACAAUAAGGAUGUUAAGAAUUUUUUGACGGUCCAGAAGGUUUUCCUGUUCUCGUCUGAAAAUAAAGCAAUCAAAGCAUCCUUAGCUGAGAAUGGCAUACGUAAUCUAAAGAAACGUAUAUGGCAAUUAUUUCGACACCGACAGUCUAAAGUGUACUGGGACGUUUUGAGUGAUUUGGUUAAGAGUUACAACAACGCAAUCCAUUCUUCGCAUAAAGUCACCCCCAAUGAUGUUAGCCAGUCUAAUUCUCUGCAAAUAUUCAAUCGAUUAUAUGCAGAAUUAUUAAUGGGAAAACAGAAAAAACCAAAGUACGGCGUGGGUGACACAGUACGAGUAGCCAUCGACAAAACACUUUUUGAAAAAGGAUACGAGUCAACAUUUAAGGAGGAAAUUUACAAAAUACAUCAAGUGCUACCACAACAACCAGAGCCGCUUUAUGUAUUAGUGGAUGAAGACGGGGACUUAAUUCGCGGAAAAUAUUACGAAGCCGAACUCAGUCGUGUGAGAAAUGACUCAUAACAGCUUCUAUGUCACGCUUCCAUCUGAUGCCUGUAUGCAGCAGUUUCCAAAGAAUAAUGCAGCUGAAUGGACAACAAAGCUAAAGAGUGUUUUAUCACUACCGGGACAAUGGGAAAUGGCAUUGGUGGAAAUACAGUAUCCUAAUUCAAUGUACAAUUUACCCAGCCCCCAAACAUUGCACGUAGACCAAAUUACAUCCAUGGAUAGCAACGGUGUUUUCGUAAUGGAUCGCGACACAAUUACAGUACCUGCAGGAAUCUAUGAGAAAAGUGAUAUCAUUGAUUUUAUAAACGGUAAAGUGCCGCGGUUAAAGCCGUUCGGCGAUUCUGCAUUGGAAAAACAGGCUUUCCAAUUCGAAUUAUUAAAAACUGAACCCAAGCUCAAAGUAAAGUUUCCUAGCGUGCGGGUUUUUCUGGAUUUUCCUCCCUCAUCUUUGCAUCUAUCCCGUAUGCUGGGAUUCAAAGAACGACGAUUUUCUGCAGCACAUUCCGAACAGUAUGAAAAUUUUUUGAUGGAAAAAACGAAUUUUGCUUCCGCAAGUACCACGCUGUCCGACCAGUUAAAGGCAUUGGCAGAGCUGCAGCUCUUGGAAACUUCUGUACUAAUGACGGCGGAUAAACCUGUGAACAUGCACAUUGGGAACCAAUCAAUUUUUGUGUACUGCAACAAGUGUGACUACAAUAUUGUGGGUGAUGAAACUAUGCAACUUUUGCGCGCUUUCCCCAUUAAAGCAAGUGUUCCGCGCUUCGAAAUUGUUUCGGAAAGGUUCGAGGAUCCACAUUAUCUACCUGUUUUAUACGAUCGACUGGACACAAUCGACAUCAACAUUGCAACUGAUCUGGGAGAACCGGCAAUUUUUCAGACUGGAAAAUCAAUGGUAAAGCUGCACUUUCGGCCCAUUCAGUAUUACUAUCGCUAAAAAAUGCCCGUUAUCCUCUUUGAACCGUCACCAUCGUUCUAUCUGGAUUUAUUUGCCGGGACCGCCACGGGUGCCGGUAGUCAGCACGGGUAUGGAGCCGUCAUGACACGGUAUCGCGGAAGUUUAAUGCAAAAUGGGAGUGGUUUUAUGCUGCCCAAUUUUCUGCGCGCAAUGCUCAGUAAAUUAGCGCAUUUUGCGGCUCCGGUUAUUAAAGCUGCCGCGCCACAUGCUAGAGCAGCCAUGGAAGCAGCAAAGCCUCACCUAUGCGACGCAGCGACAACAGUUCUUAAUGAGACGUCCAGGAAAGUAGGAGAAAAAAUUUCGGAAGCACUCACAUCGCAAACUCAACAGCAAGGAGGCAUCAAGCGGCUCAAGCAGCAGCACAAGAAAACGAAGAAGAUCAAGAGACAUUCCAUACGAUUGAAACGGCUUAAACGGAUUCCCCGAGAGAAUUUGAGGACGCAUUUUAAAAUGGCUUUUAUUCUGGAAGGAAGCGUACCAGCUAUGCAGGUUGAGUCGGAUUUAUUUUCCGUUCCAGCCACUCUCGCGGAUUUUGUGCGGACAGAAGAAGAACGCAUUCUACCGACCUCAGGCCAAACAGAAGAAAUUAGUUCGGGAGAAAUCUCUUUUUACAUCCCACCAUCAACAUCAGCGUUGCUAGUGCUACCAGAAAUUACGCUGGAAAUGGAUAUUGCAAUCAAAAAGCAAAUUGCAGGACUUGGGGCGGCAACGCGUAUUGAAAACACGGAUCUGGUAGCACCAGUCAACCUCAUAGCGCAUUCUAUAUUCAGCUCGGUAGAGGUAACAAUGGCGAACCGCCUGAUAACUAAUUCCACCCCAUUGUAUGCCUACCGAGCUUACUUGGAAAAUUUGUUGGGAUACACACCGGCUGCCCUUCAAAGCCAGGCAACAAGUGCAGGAUUUUAUUUUGACAGCCCUGGCUAUCUAGAAGAUCAUGCCAACAACGCUGGAGAAGUAACGCGAAAGGCCGUGUUUGUGACCAACGAGUACGUUCCUUUUAGCGCCAAAUUGUGCACCGACAUUUUCCAGCAGGGAAAAAAUCUGAUCACCGGUGUACCGCUACAUGUGCGCCUCAUCCUAAAUAAGCCGGAAUUCUAUUUGCGGUCGUAUGCCAAUCUUCCAGUAGACACUUUUAAAGCAUACCUUCGUAAUCCACGACUAUAUGUUAAACGUUUCGUGCCUAAUCCGGUUUACCUGUCUGCGGUCACGGCCCAAUUAUCGACAAAAACAGUGAAAUAUCCCAUAGAGCGAGUAUGUAUGCGCGUUAAUGACAUUGGCAACAUUCAGAGCACGGUGCUGGCUAAUUUACACAUUGGCGCAGUACCCAAAUGUGUUUUUGUGGGAUUCGUGAAGAGCUCGAGCUUUCACGGGCUGCGCCGAGGUAAUCCAUUUAACUUUGAACAUUUCAACCUCAACUAUAUAAGCGUCGAAGUCGACGGACAAUCGUAUCCUGCUCAAGCCUACCGACCAAAUUUCGCCACGGGUGAUUAUUUACAAUCAUAUGACGGCCUGUUGGAAACGCUUGGCCGCUUGCACGCACCGGACGGGGCGCUGCCAUUUGACCGUAAAGCAUUUGCGGAAGGUUUUGCUAUUUGGGGAUUCGACCUGACGCCUUCACGGACUGGCCGGGGACCAAUGAGCACCGUGCGCCAAGGAAAUCUGUCGAUUCGUCUGCAGUUUGCCGCCCAAUUAACUGAACCAAUUAUGGCGAUAACGAUGAUGGUGUGGGAUAAUAUCAUUGAAGUUAAUUCACAUCGCCAGUUGAUUGCGGAUUUUACUGCAUAAAAAGCACAGCGUAAGUGAGUGUGUAAGAUUUUGCACAAAAGUGUUGUUGCUUGAGCGGUACGCUUCAGGGGCGCAAGCGGGGGUGGGCGCGCUGUCGGCCUCUGACGACGCUGAAGUGAAUCGUGACGGAUGUGGUAAACAAUGGGCGACCGGAGCGCUUCGCGCUCUCGGUCGCCCGUUGUUUACAGGACAAAAUCAAAAGAAUAUUUUUAACGUUGCUGUUGUUGUAUACAGACUGGCACUACAAUGGACACCGCUGAAAUCAGCCAUGUAUUACGUUCAAGCGCGGUGACACGAGACGCUUUCAUUGGUGUAUUUGCUGCGGACAUGUUACCAUCUUUGCUUCCAGCCAAACUGCCAUGGGCAUGUGUUGUCAAUACUGACGAAGCUGCAAAACCUGGCUCGCAUUGGCUGGCGUUCUACCAGGCUGUACCAGGACAAUUGGAAUAUUUUGACUCUUACGGACAUGAACCAUAUUACUACGGCCGCCACAUUGAAAAUUUUUGCAAGAACGCUGGCAGAGUUAUUUCGCAAGCGCAUCGUUUACAAAUGGAAUGGAGUACCGUGUGUGGACAGUACUGCUGCUUUUUUAUUUUAAAACGAUGCUCCGGCGAGUCGUUUACUUCUCUUAUUCAUUUAUUUACCAGUAGCAAAUCUUCGAAUGAUCGAAUGGUUUGUGCUUAUGUUAAUUAUUAUUUCAGUUUGAAAACUGUAGUCCGUGAUAACUCUAUGCUUAUACAGUCUGUUUUCCGCCAGUUAAUGCAAUAAAGUCACGUCACCAACGCCAGUUUUUUCACGUACUGUUUGUAUAGGAGUAAAAAAUAAUUUGCUGUGCACCAAAGUAUUUUGCCACCACAGCGUGACGUUGCGCUGCAUCCGUUUUGAUGCUAUAUAUAAAAUACUUUGUCAGUGCGUAACUUACAAAUAUAACAGUUAUUUCAUCUCAUUACGCAGCGGAAACUAACGAUUUCUGAUUCUGUUUUGUUCAAAGAAUGGUUUACCAUAUUGUUGUAGACAUUAAGUGGUAUACGCUUAAUGGGAAGCCAAUUAUUACGUCACUUGCAAUAAGUUCUGUCGAAUUUUAUUGCCUUUAUUAUACCACUUUUGCGCUAGCGCCAAACAAUUACAUUGUUAAUAAAUUUGGCAUUUGUUCUUCGGAUAAUGAUGCUGUGUUCGAUAAAGCUUUCUCAGAGUUAGAACAUCAGUUAAAUCGAUCGUUUAAAAAUUAUCUCCGCUAUGUUGAUGAUCCUGCCGUUGUCGUUUUCUAUGCAAAAGGGGGACAAAAGUGUCUCAUUCUUCAACAACUGCUCAAAUCUGAUGUCAUUAAUCUUGAUACACUUGGCUGUCCGCGUUUUGCUGCUCUAAGUAACGACAAGUGCUACAGUCCUAACAAAGCGCAAUCGUACUCUAAUUGGAUGCUGGACUACUAUUUAAAAAGCCGUACGAAAUGCCUGCUUUGCCGAAUGCCGAUUCCUGAAGAAAGAGCUACCCAUCGACUGCAACGACACUGCCGCAGCAAAAGACCAGAUCAGAAUUCUUACUGGGGUAUGCGUUAAUAUAUAUCUCGCUAUUUUACAAAGAUUUCGAGGUGGUCUAUAUUAUUGCAGAUGACCAAAAAAAUAGAUGUUGCAUCCGCUGUGGCGCUGUGUUUCCUCCCUCGAACGCUGAUUGCGCCUAAUAAAAAACGUGUUGCGAAUAUUAUCGCAUCCAGCACGUUUCAUCGAAUGAGUCAUUAAAUUUUGUUGGCCGAUGUAACUAUAAAAUGCUGUACGGAAUUUUGCUUACACAUAUAAAUAAGCUGCUUAUAUGAGGCUGGAUUUCUGCGAAUAGCAAAGUACUUCCAUCAGGUUGUUUUUCUACACCAUGACACAAAUUCCUGAUCCGUCAAUACCGUCAACUGCCCUUGAGACCGACGCGGAAACUGAAUUUGCAGAUAGUGCUCUCUUUAAUCAUAACUACGCGCUUCUUGAUCAUAAUUAUUCUGCAGCUCCGGCUGGUGUACCUGCGCAGCGUUUAGAAGAGCUUGAUCCAGAUUUGUAUGAUAUUAAAGAACAUUAUGAGUUGGAAAAAACCGGAGCCAAAUAUUCGCAAAAGUUUUCAGUUUUAUUUGAGAGUUAUAAGUGUCAGAUAAACGGCCUUGAAAAUUUAUCGUUCAAGUACGCAGUGAAGACCAUAACUCUGCUGUUGAAAGAUAUCCUUGAAACGGUGAUUUCCAAAAUACCUGCGCACAACUUGGUGAGAAUUCGCAUAUACCAGGCGGCACUGCAGUACCCUAUUUGGAUGCCACCUAUUCAACGCGAUCAGUUGACUAUCGAGCGAUGGAUGACGACAAUCAAAAGAAUUUUGAAUUCAAAUCAAGCGUUUUUAUUGGACGAGUCUUUUGAACUGUCAGUGCAGCAUACAGAUACACCAAUCGGCUCAUGCAGAAAGAACGUCUCCCAGUUGUUGCGGCAAAUUUUGGACAAAAAACGGUGCAUCACCCAGAUUCGAAACUCGGACAGUUUAUGUAUGGCUAGAGCAAUUGUGGUCGCUAAAGCGCAUGCGGAUGGCGAUAAAGAAUUUUAUACAAAGCUCUACCGAACCAAGAAACUGCAGGAUGAAAAAACCAGAGAAUUGCUGCGGGCUGCCCGGUUGCCAAAUAGAGAAUACAGCCUGGAAGACGUUCCUCGGUUUGAAGAAGUUCUGCCAAAUUAUCAGAUUAUUGUAGUAUCUGUCGACCACGGAAACUCAGUUGUCUACUGUGGCGCUUAUGCUGAGAAGCGUAUUAUGUUGCUCGAUCAUGACCGGCAUUUUGAUGUUCUGACAUCUUUGCCGGCUUACUUCGAGCAUCACUACUACUGUUACCGUUGCAUGAAAGGCUACAAUCAACGAGAAGACCACCGGUGUGAGUUUAAAUGUCACCAAUGUCUGUCUGCAGCGUGCAAGAUGCAAAAAGAUUCAAAAAUACCUUGUUCGGAAUGUAAUCGCGACUUUUAUGGCCAGGAGUGUUUUGAAAGGCACAAGUCUGGAACCAGUCCCAUCUGUUCAAAGUUUUUUGUAUGUGGAAUAUGCAAAUCUUUCGUUUCUCUUGUAAAACGUCGAAUGCGGACAAAUUACGACGCACCUCGAGAUAACAGAAGAGAUGCUGACAACUGCGAUGACGACGAAGACGAACCGGAAAUCGAACUGGAUAUUGACGAUCAGCAACAUCGUUGUGGUGAAGUGUACUGCGCAACCUGUUCACUCUUUCACUUGCCGGAAGAAAGCCAUGUCUGCUAUAUGCAGCCCAUCGAACUUACGGAUAACGAGAAAGCGAAACAUCAAAACGAAAAAUUUGCAUACUUCGACCUCGAAACCUACCAAGAUGACACAGGUGAAUUCCGAGUGAAUCUAGCAGUCAUCGCCACGAAGGAUGAGAAGUUUGUGCUCCCUGAGGAUGGAAACAUUAAUGGCGACAUCGCAAAUGCUCUUGGGGAUUUCAUUUUCAGCGAACGUUUUCGGGGAUACACUUUUAUUGCGCAUAAUUUAAAGGGGUUCGACGGGUAUUUCCUGUUAAACUAUUUAGUAAAAAAUGGUGUUAUUCCACACCCACUGAUUUUUAAUGGUAGUAAAAUUAUGCAAAUGGAUUUCAGUAAACUCAAAAUAAAAUUUCGAGAUUCCAUGAACUACGUGCCAUCGUCACUAAGGAAUUUCGCGAAGGCGUUUGGUUUGCAAGAAACUAAAGGAGAUUUUCCACACAAGCUGAAUAAACCCGAAAAUUGGAACAAGAUCAUCCCUUGGCCAGAUCGGCAUGACUACGGUUACCAAUCCAUGAAAAGAUGUGAGCGGAAACGUUCCAUAAAAUGGUUUCGCAAGGAACGACGCCGUCAUCACAAUCAGUUUGAUUUUAAUGCACAUUUCAUCAAGUACUGUUCCCAGGACGUUCUCGUACUACAACAAGCAUGUGAAAAAUUUCGAAUGCUUUUCCAACAAGUAUCUGGUGGAUUAUGUCCAUUUGCUUCUGGCCUUACAACCCCUGGAAUGUGCAAUUAUUUUUGGAGAGCGCGAAUGCUGAAGAAGAGCCAAAUUGCUUUAAUCGGUCCACCAGGACAGGGAAAGAAAUCAUCUGUAAAAGCAGAACGGUGGCUACGAUCGAUAGAACUGGAUAACGAUACAAAACUGGAAAAAGAAUUUCGAAUCGGGCACUGGACCGUUGAUGGCUUCCAUUCAGAAACCAAAACAGUUUACGAAUUUUUAGGAUGUAUGUGGCACGGCUGCAGCGACUGUACCACGAAAAGCAUGCAUGCACCCGUUUCUUGGUAAACCAAUGGAAGAGGUUCAGAAAGCGACUUUUUUGCGCCUUGAUGCAAUAAAAACUCUGGGAUACACGAUUGUAUCGAUUUGGGAGCACGAUUACGACAUGAAAUUAGCAUCUGACAUUGAGUUUCGAAAGCUAACUGAGCUCGCCAACGUGAUGGAGCCGUUGCAUCCGCGGGAUGCCUUUACUGGUGGUCGAACAAAUGCAAUAAAGCUUUACCAUAAAUGCGGACCAGGGGAGAAAAUUUAUUCACUUGACGUUAUUAGCGAAUAUCCAUACAUCAACAAAAAUUUGCCCUACCCCGUUGGACCACCGGUUGUUAUUACUAACGACUUUCCACCAGUGGAAAAAAUAUUUGGAGUGGUAAAAUGUCGCAUUAUUCCACCACCGUCUUUAUUCCUUCCAGUGCUGCCCUACCGAACGGAUAAGCUAACAUUCCCGUUAUGCGCGAGGUGCGUGAAAGAGCGUGUUAACUCUCCCUGUGAUCAUGAGGAUGACGAUAGGGCUCUGGAAGGAACGGGGUGUACACCGGAAAUUCAUCGAGCGUUAGAAGUUGGCUACCGCAUCGAUAAAAUUUAUUCUGCGUGGCACUACCCCGAGCAAAUGCAAUAUCUAUUCAGGGAGUACAUUGACUUGUUUUUGAAGCUGAAAACUGAAGCGUCUGGCUAUCCUUCAAACUGUCACACAAACGAGGAGAAAGACUUUUAUGUUAAAGAAUUCCUUGGUAAAGAAAAUAUUCAGCUGGAUAAAGAUAAUAUUGCUAAAAAUGAUGCGCUCAGAGCGCUUUGCAAGCUUAUGUUGAAUAGUUUUUGGGGAAAGUUUGGGCAGCAGGAAGACCGUUCCAACACGGCAAUGGUGGAGAAGAAAGAGGUCUUUCAUGACUUUUUAUUUUCAAAUAAAUACGAAGUUGCUGGAUUCGACUUGGUUACGGAUGAAGUCAUGGCCGUACAAUACCGUUCGAAGAAGGAUUAUAUAGUAACGAAUAAGAAAACCAAUGUUGUCAUUGCGGCUUUCACUACUGCUUAUGCACGAUUGCACCUCCUCAAAUUUAUGGAGAUGGUUGGGGACCGCCUACUAUAUCAUGAUACCGAUAGCAUUUUCUAUGUUCACAAAGACGAACUGCCUGACCCACCAACGGGAACUUGUCUUGGCGACUUGUCAUCAUCGCUGGAACCUAACGAGCACAUAGAAAAAUUUGUGGCGCUUGGGCCUAAAAGCUACGCUUAUCGUACCAACACUGGUCACGAAACAAUAAAAGUGAAGGGAUUUACGUUAACACGGCAGGCCAGAAAACAGCUGAAUCUGGAAAGUUUGAAGGAAUUGCUACUGGAAAGCCUUGCACCGCCAGAUGAACCAAACGAUAUUAUGGUUAAUUAUCCGUUCAACAUUACGCGAAAUAAGCGCAAGUUGGAGGUUCUGUCUACGGAAAUGAAUAAGCGCUUCAGACUUACCUACUCAAAACGUCGAAUUGUCGACACCGAAUUUCAUACUCGUCCCUGGGGUGAUGUUUCCGGAGAAUAGGCCUUCAAUUUCCAGUACCGUACAGUUGUUAAUAAUAGUUUUAAUAUUAUAGCUAAUUCCAAAAAAUGCUUCCAGCAAUAUUAUUAGAAUCAGCAUGAUGACAAUGCAGGAGCCUAUUGCUGCCUCACAGAAGUUCUUUUUGCACACAAUGCGAGCCAUCUUAGCAAGACUAUGUUCGGGUAUUGUGUUUGUUUUCUUUGAACAUUGUUUCUUUAAUAGUUACUUCAAUAGAAAAGUUGCAUUAAACAUCGCAGCUUAACUCUAAUUAAAGAGGUAUGAAUAAAGGC